rnacentral:rRNA from 1 species
CAGGCCUAACACAUGCAAGUCGAACGAAGGCUUCGGCCUUAGUGGCGCACGGGUGCGUAACGCGUGGGAAUCUGCCCUGGGGUACGGAAUAACUCAGAGAAAUUUGAGCUAAUACCGUAUGAUGACGUAAGUCCAAAGAUUUAUCGCCCUGGGAUGAGCCCGCGUAGGAUUAGGUAGUUGGUGGGGUAAAGGCCUACCAAGCCGACGAUCCUUAGCUGGUCUGAGAGGAUGAUCAGCCACACUGGGACUGAGACACGGCCCAGACUCCUACGGGAGGCAGCAGUGGGGAAUAUUGGACAAUGGGCGCAAGCCUGAUCCAGCAAUGCCGCGUGAGUGAUGAAGGCCUUAGGGUUGUAAAGCUCUUUUACCCGGGAAGAUAAUGACUGUACCGGGAGAAUAAGCCCCGGCUAACUCCGUGCCAGCAGCCGCGGUAAU